rnacentral:lncRNA from 1 species
GACACAAAACCCGGAAGGACCCCGCCGAAGGUUUUCUCCGGUUCGGGAGAGAGACGGAGUCCCGCUCUGUCACGCAGGCUGCCAGGCUGGCGUACAGUGGCGCAAUCUCAGCUCGCUGCAACCUCCACCUCCUGGGUUCAAGCGAUUUUCUUGCCUCUGCCUCCUGAGUAGCUGGGAUUACUGGCACACACCACCAUGCACAGUUCCUUGUUCAAAAUGCCAAGAACCUGGAUGACUCAUAGUCAAGACCCUCCACCAGUAACAUAUAUUGGCGAGCCAGCCAGGAGCUUGGAACCCUCGGUGGACAGUGCCUAAGCACAGAGGCAACCACAGGUUUCUAACAGGGCCACUCUCUGGUGAAACUGAAAGGUUUCUGUGUGAAAGUGCCUGACCACCACUGCCCAAUUCAGACCACUACAGGAAACACUCCAUUUAUUCCACCUGACUUCCCACUUGGCUGCAUCCUCAACCAUUGAAAUGAAUUUGACCCUGAUAAUCUAAGGAGGAAACAUUUGAUAUUCUUUUGCAAUAAUACUUGGCCCCAGUAUUGUUUGGAAUCUGGAGUUUGCUGUUGAAUGGGAAAGCAGGAUGACGUUGC